UGGCGCUCACUGUAGUGGGCCUCCCUGGCGCUCACUGUAGUGGGCCUCCCUGGCGCUCACUGUAGUGGGCCUCCCUGGCGCUCACUGUAGUGGGCCUCUUAAGUCAGCGAUUGGUGAUUGAUCAGUAUUUAUGACGUGCAAGAUUUGUACUUUUUUAAUUUUCUUUCUUGUCUGCCGUCAUAGAAGCGGGCCACUGUAAUCCUCGGAAUAGUUCCGUUCCACUUUUUGUUUCUUUGUUCUAAAAGCGAAGUAGAACAGCGAGCGAUGCACUUAAGGAAUGUAGGUGCUGGGUUUGACGGAUCCGCAGUAUAUCGGUGAAGGUUCCGUGUGGGUCAUUUAUGCAGUUUGAUUGGUGUACGGAGCAGGAAGUGGAACGGGACUAUUCCCGAUAGGCCAAAGAGGCCCCUUUCUAGAAGCCACUGAUUCCAUAUCUGUUAAGAGUGCGGCUUAAACUGACGCUCUACCUCUCACUCAUUCACUCUACUAGCCACCAGGUCAAUUGGGUGGUGUUGACAAACUUGAACUGUGGGAUGACAUAAUAAAGGCUUUAUUCUUAAAUAAAACGGUUUCUCCUUGUGAAUUGCUGUUAUUGCAUCCAAGUUGUUACCCCCCCCCCCCCUCAAUACUGACUGCAAUUCUUAACGUAGAGACAGAAAAAGAUCAUAGGACAAAUGCUCGUAGACGUUAUUACGUUUCUUUUUUUCUUUACCGACAAGCAUGAUCAGAAGUUCAUGCUUAAACAUACAGGAAAUGCUAAGUGACAUAUGGGCUCUGUACUGGAGCGAUGUUGAAACACAUGUAUCUUGCCCUAUCCUGUUAGACUUGUCAUGGUGAGACCUUAAUAAAGCCUCCCUAGGUGUUUUGUCACUAACAAGUUCCGCUUCAGUUUAUUUCUGAAGACACUCCUCUUGAUAGAGUUUGGAGCGACCCGUAAAAUAAAUAAAGCAUGGCCCCAACGUCACUUUUCUGUAUCCUCCUUUGCCUCACCUGAAAACACGGCGGUUCGGGAAUGACCUGUGAUUUCAGUCAUGAUCCUGAGAGGGUAAUGAGGUUCCCUAACAGCCAACCAUUCACCAUUCUAUUACAUGUAUUUGUUUACUUAUGAUGUCGCCACUGCGGGUACAUUGUAAUAUUGAAGCGGUAUAUGUCGUUGUUAGCUAAACAUCUUAAUGGCCG
ensembl:lncRNA